rnacentral:rRNA from 1 species
AUUGAACGCUGGCGGCAUGCUUUACACAUGCAAGUCGAACGGUAACAGGUUAAGCUGACGAGUGGCGAACGGGUGAGUAAUGCAUCGGAACGUGCCCGAUCGUGGGGGAUAACGCAGCGAAAGCUGCGCUAAUACCGCAUACGAUAUGAGGAUGAAAGCGGGGGACCGUAAGGCCUCGCGCGAUCGGAGCGGCCGAUGUCCGAUUAGGUAGUUGGUGGGGUAAAGGCCCACCAAGCCGACGAACUGUAGCUGGUCUGAGAGGACGACCAGCCCCACGUGGCCGGAGACACGGCCCAGACGCCCACGGGAGGCAGCAGUGGGGAAUUUUGGACAAUGGGCGAAAGCCUGAUCCAGCAAUGCCGCGUGCAGGAAGAAGGCCUUCGGGUUGUAAACUGCUUUUGUACGGAGCGAAAAGGUCCUUUCUAAUACAAGGGGCUCAUGACGGUACCGUAAGAAUAAGCACCGGCUAACUACGUGCCAGCAGCCGCAGUAA